AGAGAAAGUAUGACGACUGAAUUUUUGGGCUAUUUAGGUUUGUGUUUUGCUAACUGCUGUCAUCUUAAUUAUCAUGAAGAGUCUCGUAGCUCAGCUGGUUAGAGCGCUACACUGAUAAUGUAGAGGUCGGCAGUUCGAGUCUGCCCGAGACUACUAUUUUAUGAUAUAGGGAAUUUAGGGUUGUUAAUUCAUUCAUACUGAAUUCUUUCAGAAUGGGGAAUUAGCUCAGCUGGCUAGAGCACUUGAUUUGCAUUCAAGAGGUCGUGGGUUCGACUCCCACAUUCUCCACAAGUUUUAUAACUAAACGUUCAUUGACAUAUUGAAAAAUUUAAUAUCACAAACAACAGUUAUCCAAUUAGUGUUUGUGAUAAUUAGAUACACAUAAAGUAUUAAAUAUAUAUUUAUAUAUAUGGAUAUACGAGCAAAUUAAAAUAAUAAGUAAAUACAAUUUCAAAGAAAAGUAAAGUUAC
rnacentral:misc_RNA from 1 species